GACUAGGAGGGGUGAGGGAGUUACCAAGUGGGUAUCUGGGGAAGAGUGUUCUGAGUGAAGAAACAGCAAAGGCCCUGUGGCUAGCACAUGCCUGUGAUUGUGUUACAGAUGUCAGUGAGACUGGAAUGGAGGGAGAAAGGGAGAGUGCAUCAAGAGGUUAGCGGAGAGAUAAUGAGCAGUCAGGUUGCAAAGGCCUUUCAGGCCACUGUAGGGACUGGUCAUGCUCUCAAUGAAACACUGUUGCAGUGUUUGAGCAGAGGGGUGCUCUGCUCUGACUUCUGUGUUGAGGAUUUUGUAUCACCCUAGUGCUAUGUUGAGAAAUUGAAGGACUGCAUCCUAACAGUCAGAAGCCAGUAGGAUACUUUUGCAGUAAUCCAAAUGAGAGAUGAUGGUGACUUAGGCUAGGGUGGUGGUCAUGGAGUUUGGUUGGUUUCUGGAUUGUUUUAAAGUUAGAGCUAAUGGGAUUUCUUAUGGGGGAGGCAGAGGAGUCAGGGAAGACUCCCAGGUGUUUUUUCCCUAGAGCACCUGGAUGAUGCUGUGGGUGGAGCAGGUUUUAGAAAAGUAGAUCAGGAAUUGAGUUUUAGACAUGUUGAGUUACAGAUACCUAAUUAGGAAUGUGAAUACAUACCCAGCUGACUUGGGGAAAGGUCGAAAGGGAGGCGGAGAUUUGGUAUUGACAUGUAUGUGACAGUAAAGCCACAAGACUGGAUGAGCUUCCCAUGGAGUGAAGGUACAUAGGAAGAGCACCCAGGCCUGAUGCUCCAGCAUCAGAGUGAGAGAAGAGAAACCCCAAGGGACCCAUCCAAGAGAGUGUCCAUAACGUAGGAAGGAUUAACGUCUAUUUAACUCUUCGUUCUCUUCAAAUCUGAAUUCAUGACAACCUUUAGCCCUGAUUUCUUUCAACUCUUAAGUGAUGUUCCUGGUGAGUCCUCCCAGGCCACAGUGGUUAUGAUGUCCGCCCUCUGUAUGACCGUUUGUUGAUCCCUUCUUUGAAGGCAACUCAGGCAUACAGUUUGUUUUUUUAAUCCAAUGUUGUGGUCCUCAGGUUUAUGGCCCCUCAGCACUGUCCCUUGUGCUGACCCAUUAUGUGUCCAAAUUGUAUAUGGAUUGGAAGAUGCAGAACGAGAGGUCACAGGAAUGUGGACAGAUGAGCAGGCAUCAUUCAGACAGGAAAUGGGAGUCUGGCAGAGGCACCGGAUAGGUAGGGUUCACUCUGAUGCACAGUGCUGGCUGACUUGCCGUGAGAAAACCAGAUGGGCUGUACUUGGCAGUACUCUGAUGGAUUGUCAUAAAUAUGUGGAUGACUUUUAAUAGGAAGGUCAUUCUGAGAGGAACAGGGCAAUUAUAAAUGCACUUGAGGAGGUGAGGAACGUCAAAUGAAAAACCCAAAAGUUGAGGUACCCGGGUGGCUCAGUCGACUGGUUAAGCAUCUGCCUUCGGCACAGGUCAUGAUCCCAGGGUCCUGGGAUCGAGUCCCACAUCGGGCUCCUUGCUUAGCAGGGAGCCUGCUCCUCCCUCGGCCGACACCUCUCCCUGCUUGUGCUCUCUCUCUGACAAAAUCUUAAGAAAACAAAAGAAACCCAAAAGUUGAAAAUCACCACUUUAAAAAUUGCCUGGCAUAUUUGCAGGUAAUAAUAGCUCAAAGGGGGAGGAAAGAACUCUACUUACUGGCUGCUGAAGUUAAAUAAAGGAUUUCCUGAAGAAGUAAGUAGGUAUGAAAGCAUUUGGUUCUACCCUCGGCCCCACCACAGUGUGUUUUCUAGUUAGAGGGGAAGGGGCAUGAUGGCUUGGCAGUGCAAUCCCUGAAGUCUGAAGCCAUUUGGCUACUGCCUUAGCUGGCCUGGUGUGGUCACAAUGCUCCGAAACUGGGCCAAAGCUUCGCAGGUUCAGAAACCUAGUUCUAUCUUUGUCCUUACAGUCGCUGCAUUUUCACAGAGUGAAAUCAUUAACCAGGCUUCUAAGAAAAAUUGGUAUUUGGAUGGUAUUUACAGUGAGAAUUCUACCUCUCAAGUGGAGCAGAGUGUUCAUGUUGGGUGGUGACAUGUCUUCUUUCUGCACAGGGAGGCGACAGAGUAAACUGGCUUUAUAGCUGGAAGACUGUCUUUGAACCAGAGUGUGGAAUUGGAAUAAGAGAGAUGAAUUGGAUGGUCUUACUAGCUGGUGUUAUGGGCCGAGAGUAACAACAGUGCUGUCUGUUACAAGAAUGCCGUGAGAACCAAAUGGAACAGUGUCUGGGACACUGAACACCAAACACCAAGGCACAGUACUUGGUGAGGAGCUUGUUUUCAGAACAAUGGUCAGACAUUUUUCCAACAUGAGAAGGGAGGAUGGGGUGCAAGUUCUCAGGCAAACUCCUUUUUGGCUCGGGCAUUUUUAAGAAAUCCACACAGCCUUACGAGAUGAGAAAAUGGGGUAUGGAGACUGAUGUACUGAUCUGCACGAGGCCACAGGGACAAGCUGGGUCUGGGUCACCGAAGUCCUCGACAGUACAGGAGAACUGCGAGGGAACUGGAGCCGGUGCCCAGAGACCAGCAGGCCUGACUCCCCCUCUGGCCGGCGCUGAGCUCGUCUCUUCGGAGAGGAUGUGGGUGUCUCCUCCUCCUCUGUCCCUCCCAGGGCGCCCUGGCUGACUGCUCAAGGCCUGGACACUGCAGAACGGGGCCUGGGGCUUCUCGCCUUUGAAAACGCCCCCGAAGCCUGGCACCUCAGUUCCUUAUAUGAUGUCAUGGCCUCACUGUCAUGUUCUCAUUCCUGUGGAUGGAGUGUGUUUUGCUGAUAUCCUUCCCACAGCGUAUAAGGAGAAGCAGAUCUGAAAGCAGACUGAACAUUUCCCUUCAGAAUCUGGAGCAGCGCCUGCCCCUAGAAGGGAUCAAGCUCUCACCUGCUUGCCUUUCUCCUAGGGCAGCAACUUUUAGGUGAUACCAGUUUUUGAGAUCUUGAGCUGCUUGCUCAAGGGCUGUCCUCUGUGGAUGUGAUGGGGACUACUUACCUGGUGUGUACAAGAGUCCUUCUCCCAGCUUGUGAUUCUGCACGGCCCAGCGAGGAUGAUGCUCUCCUGUGGCGGGUCUCCAGCUGCCUAGUCAGACAGCUCUGCGGGUCUCCCCUGUGCCCGUCUCCGCCCAGGACCCCCUGCGGCCUGCCUGGUGUCACGGUGGGCAUUCACUUCACAGCACAGCAUCCCAGGACCCUGGAUGUUAUAGGCUGCCGCCUUCUGGAUCCCCAAGGACUGUGCUCACGGCCCGGAAGUAGCUGCUGCCUCUGGACAACCUCCCAGGCACCUUCUCCACCCAGGCAUGAGCACCCGUGAUGCUAUCCCCCCAGCCAAGGUUCUGGCUCCCAUGGCCGUGUACUGUGGGAGUGUCCCUCGGACCAGUGCUGGGCCCCGCGCACUCCCGGGCGGAAGAAGUGACUCCAGGCUCCAGACUUACAGAGAAGCCUCCCUCCAGCCAACUCCGAGUGUCCUGCUGGAGAAGCCGCUGCAGCUCUUGAGUGGACAUGGGCACCCCAGCGGCCUCAAGUUGGAUGCCCCCCUGAAGGGCUGGCAGGCCAGGAAUGGCCACCCCGGGAGCCUUGCGGCCGUGUCUCUGGGGUCCAAACCCCUGGCACCCUUCUCCUCUCUGGAGUCUGAGGCCAACAGUGUGGCCCGGGACACCACCCAGAUCAAGGACAAGCUCAAGAAAAGGAGGCUCUCGGAGGGCUUGGCAGCAUCCUCCCAAGUCUCCCUGGAUCCUGUGGGAGGCCCCAGAGGAGUUCCUCUGAGGAGCACCAUCCCCCGGGCCACUUCUCAGAGGCUGCUGAGGGCGCCCAGGCCAAUGCCUCCCAUCCAGAGCAUCCCCACUACCCCUGAGGCUGGCGGAGCCAAGGAGAAGGGCCUAGACCCACCUGGGAGCAGUCAGGGUCCCCAGGAAUUGAGACCCGGAGCCCAGGAGGUGCAGAUCUCCAGACAAUACCUGCACUGCAAUGACGAGAAGAUGCACAAGUCGCUGGGGGGCGUUGUGAUCCCGCCCAUCCCGAAGGCUGCGGUGUCUGCUGGGGCCUCCUCCUGUACGCCUGGCUCCCUUCCCAGCCACUUACCUCCAGGCCAGGGUGUCCUCAUGGGCCUGAGGGUCCCCCGCACACGAUUGGUUCGGGAGAGUGGGCCUCGGGAGAAGACCCCUAAAUCUCUGGAGCCAAGACCUUCGGCCCUGCCUGUCAGAGACAGGUCUGCCACCCCUGAGAAGCCCGCCCUGCUUUCAUCUCAGUCUGCUCCUACACUGACCGCUUUCUCCUUCGGCCAGGCCAAAGGAGCCCGCCCCUCGCUCAAAGAAGAGGACCAGAAGGAGAGCAGUACCAAGAUCCAGGUCACCAUCUCCAAGUCUGCCCAGGAGAAGAUGCGGCUGAGGCAGAUGAAGGAGAUGGAGUUGCUCCAGAGGGCAAAGGAGCUGGAGAGGGAAAGGGAGCUUGCUUCCCAGAGCCUGGCCUCCCGGAGAGCCCUGAUGAAGGAAGGCCUCCUUCCCCUCUGGGGUAGUGGGACCAUGUCUGUGCCCACGGGGCUGAGCAGCCCAUGCAGAAACAUCGGUGGCAUCCUGAGGAAGCGGGCCAACCGGGCCUCACUGCCCAGCAUCCCUGUCAGCAAGCAGGAGCCCAGCUUUGCCCGCCAUGCUUCAGCCAAUUCAUUACCGGCGGUGCUUAUCUUGGGGUCUCCCGAAUGGGAAGAAGAGGAGGAAGAAUUUGAUCCUAGAACCUUUAAGGAGUUGAGGCCUUUCUCGAACCCUGAGCUGGGGCUGAUGGAUGCCCUCCAGUGCCUGGAGAGCAGCGACUGGCAGAUGAAGGAGAAGGGCCUGCUGAGUGUCCAGCGCCUGGCGGUCUGUCAUUCAGAUGUCCUUGCUGGGAGGCUACACGACGUGUCCUUGGCUGUGACGGGGGAGGUCACCAACCUCCGCUCCAAAGUGUCCCGCCUGGCCAUCAGCACCCUGGGAGCCCUCUUCCGGGCCUUGAAGAAGAACAUGGACCAGGAGGCUGAGGAGAUUACCCGCAGCCUGCUCCAGAAGAUGGGGAACACCAGCGAGUUCAUUCAGAGAGCUGCCCACCGCUCCCUGGGGGCCAUGGUGGAGAAUGUGACCCCCGCCCGCUCCCUGGUGGCCCUCACCUCGGCGGGCAUCUACCACCGAAACCCCUCAGUCCGGAAAUGCACUGCCGAGCACCUCUCAGCCGUCCUGGAGCAGAUAGGCGCCGAGAAACUUCUCUCGGGCACCAGGGACAGCACGGAGAUGCUGGUGCACAACCUGGUGAGACUGGCCCAGGACUCCAACCAGGACACCAGGUUUUAUGGCCGCAAGAUGGUGAAUAUCUUGAUGUCAAAUACGAAGUUUGAUGCAUUUCUGAAGCAGAGCCUCCCGUCUCAUGACCUACGGAAGGUCAUGGCGGCUAUUAAGCAGAGGGGAAUAGAAGAAAGCGACGGACUUCCAUCUGCCAAGGGCCACAAGGUGUCGAGGAGUCUGGUGCUGGGUGAGAACGGGCUGCCCAGCGAGGAUGGGCUCAGCUCCAACGGCCCUCGGCUGGUGGGGCUUCGCUCCUCCGUGCGCGGCAGCCUCGGGGUGGCGGAGCAUCUUCGGGAGCUGACGCGGCUGCUGGAGGCCAAAGACUACCAGUCCCGGAUGGAAGGCGUGGGGCGGCUCCUGGAGCACUGCAAGGCCAAGCCAGAGCUUAUCACCGCCAACCUGGUCCAGGUCUUUGAUGCUUUCACCCCAAGGCUUCAGGAUUCCAACAAGAAAGUGAACCAGUGGGCACUGGAGGCCCUUGCCAAGAUGAUCCCCCUCCUCAAAGAAAGCUUACACCCCUUGCUGCUCUCCAUCAUCAUUGCUGUUGCAGACAACCUCAACUCCAAGAACUCGGGGAUUCACACCGCCGCGGUGACUGCACUGGAUGCCAUGAUUGAGAAUCUGGACAACCUCUGCCUCCUACAGGCGUUUGCUGGGCGGGUGCGUUUCCUGAGGGGCCGCGCGGUGCUUGAGGUCACGGAACGUCUGUCCGAAGGGCCACCGCCUGCCUUUGCUAACUUGAGAGGCCCACCGCCGUCAGCCAGGUGACCUCCGCCUCCCGGACCCGGGGAAUGUGGGCCUCACUGUAGAAGUGAGCUUCCUGGGCCCACGUGUGAUCGCCCGACUGCUGGGAGGGAGAGUUCAGCUGUGUGGGCUGGGGCAAGCUCCUUGACCCGAGUGCUGGCUUCCCCCUCUGCGAGAUGGACCGGUAUCCUGCUUCUCGAAGCACUAUGAGGACAAUGGAGUCACGCUGCAGAACUCUGAGCCCCAGACUCUGGACUCGGACAGUGUUAGUUUCCCAGGUGUGUCUCAGCCCAGGGAACGUUCCAGUUUCUUUGCUCCAUCAAUAAGUGAAGUCCUUUGCUCUCACCAGCACUUUUCCUUUGGCAGGAGGACAGGCAGACUUCACUGAUUGUAUAGAAAAAGCAUUGUUAACAUGGAUGCCCUCAGGGUAAUGUGGCCUCGGCUGAAGGCUGGAGGGGCCCCUGUGAAGUGACUUAGGGUGCUCUUGAGGUGGCUUUGACCCCGGCAUUUACUCUGGAAUGGAAGGUUUGCUGGCAGGGGUAGCCUGCUUAUGUGUUUUUUGGGGACAAAAGAAAGUAGAGGGCCUUGGAGAACCAGAUGUGGGGGGUUCAUCACUGAAUCAAGGGUCUGUGCAGAGCUUGAUGGUUGACAAAGCACAUUGACGCCUCCUGGAUUACUGCUGGUCUUGUUGUGGGGUUUGGCAUCCAGACACUGGGGAGGCCACACUGGUCUUAUCUCCUGCUGGCUGCUUUAUUUUUCAGAAUACUUCAUUUGAGAGAGUGUUGACUUUUCUCCCUGGUAUGGUUUUUCUCUGUUGUAUGAACUCAGAGAGGUGGGAAUGUGGAUUAAAGUAAUACUAGAUUGCAGUCCAGGUGUAUCUGCGUCUUUCCUCUCCCCGGGGCUGCAGGGACCAAUUACGACCAUCAUAGGCUCUGAGUACUUUUGCCUUUGCAUACUCAUUCCUCCAUUAAAAAAAAAGUUAAAAAUUGUAUUUUAUAACUGGCUGGUAUAAACAUGAAUAUAAAUGAGGUUGGAUAUCUUCAUAUUUUUUUCUUUUGAUUUUAAAAGGAAUCAAGCCAUUUUCAUGGGCCCCUAAAUGUGUCCUGAGCCUUAGCUGGUGCAUCUAAUGGACUAGUUGGCCCUUCUGGGCGGCCUGCCCUUUGCGGGGGAUAGAGUUGUUGUCCCAAGAGAGGGCAGCAAGAGAGGGAGAGAGUGCCUGCCUAAAGUCAGUCUCCCCGUUUUCUGU